rnacentral:rRNA from 1 species
GCUCGUAGUUGGAUCUGCGCCUCAGGACUUGGUCCGCCCACUGGGUGAGAACUGGGCUCCUGGGCUAGUUCUGCUGGUUUUCCCUACGUUGCCUUCAUCGGUAGCGUAGGGUGGCUAGCGAGUUUACUUUGAAAAAAUUAGAGUGCUUCACGCGGGCUUAUGUCUGAAUACUCGUGCAUGGAAUAAUAGAAUAGGAUCUCGGCUCUAUUUUGUUGGUUUUCUGAUCUGAGAUAAUGGUUAAGAGGGACGGACGGGGGCAUUCGUAUCGCUGCGUGAGAGGUGAAAUUCUUGGACCGUAGCGAGACGUCCGACUGCGAAAGCAUUUGCCAAGAAUGUCUUCAUUAAUCAAGAACGAAAGUCAGAGGUUCGAAGGCGAUCAGAUACCGCCCUAGUUCUGACCGUAAACGAUACCAACUAGCGUUCCGUCGGCGGUAAAUACGCCUUGACGGGCAGCUUCCCGGAAACGAAAGUC